rnacentral:rRNA from 1 species
UACGUAGGGUGCGAGCGUUUGUCCGGAUUUAUUGGGCGUAAAGAGCUCGUAGGCGGUUUGUCGCGUCGGCCGUGAAAUCUCCACGCUUAACGUGGAGCGUGCGGUCGAUACGGGCAGACUUGAGUUCGGUAGGGGAGACUGGAAUUCCUGGUGUAGCGGUGAAAUGCGCAGAUAUCAGGAGGAACACCGGUGGCGAAGGCGGGGUCUCUGGGCCGAAUACUGACGCUGGAGGAGCGAAAGCGUGGGGAGCGAACAGG